rnacentral:rRNA from 1 species
UACGUAGGGGCCAAGCGUUGUCCGGAUUUAUUGGGCGUAAAGAGCGUGUAGGCGGCCAGGUAGGUCUGCUGUGAAAACUCGAGGCUUAACCUCGAGAUGUCGGCGGAAACCAUCUGGCUAGAGUCCGGAAGAGGAGAAUGGAAUUCCCGGUGUAGCGGUGAAAUGCGCAGAUAUCAGGAGGAACACCAAUUGCGAAGGCAGCUCGCUGGGACGUUACUGACGCUGAGGCACGAAGGUCAGGGGAGCAAACGGGG